rnacentral:rRNA from 1 species
AUACGGAGGAUCCGAGCGUUAUCCGGAUUUAUUGGGUUUAAAGGGUGCGCAGGCGGGAGAUUAAGUCGGCGGUGAAAUCUUGCAGCUCAACUGUAAAAGUGCCUUCGAAACUGGUUUCCUUGAGUGUAGAUGAAGUAGGCGGAAUUUGUGGUGUAGCGGUGAAAUGCAUAGAUAUCACGAGGAACUCCGAUUGCGCAGGCAGCUUACUAAACUACUACUGACGCUCAGGCACGAAGGCGUGGGGAUCAAACAGGAUUAGAUACCCUGGUAGUCCACGCAGUAAACGAUGAUUACUAGCUGUUUGCGAUACAAUGUAAGCGGCUGAGCGAAAGCGUUAAGUAAUCCACCUGGGGAGUACGUUCGCAAGAAUGAAACUCAAAUGAAUUGACGGGG